rnacentral:rRNA from 1 species
AGCGAAUGGAUUANGAGCUNGCUCUUAUGAAGUUAGCGGCGGCCGGGAUGAUNUAACACGUGGGUAACCUGCCCAUAAGACUGGGAUAACUCCGGGAAACCGGGGCUAAUACCGGAUAACAUUUUGAACCGCAUGGUUCGAAAUUGAAAGGCGGCUUCGGCUGUCACUUAUGGAUGGACCCGCGUCGCAUUAGCUAGUUAGUGAGGUAACGGCUCACCAAGGCAACGAUGCGUAGCCGACCUGAGAGGGUGAUCGGCCACACUGGGACUGAGACACGGNCCAGACUCCUACGGGAGGCAGCAGUAGGGAAUCCUCCGCAAUGGACGAAAGUCUGACGGANCAACGCCGCGUGAGUGAUGAAGGCUUUCGGGUCGUAAAACUCUGUNGUUAGGGAANAACACGUGCUANUNGAAUAANNUGGCNCCUUNACGGUACCUACCCACAAANCCCGGNCUACCUANCUUCCANCANCCNC